CCCUUAGAUGUUCUGGGCCGCACGCGCGCUACACUGAUGCAUUCAACAAGCCUAGCCUUGACCGAGAGGUCCGGGUAAUCUUUGAAACUGCAUCGUGAUGGGGCUAGAUUAUUGCAAUUAUUAAUCUUCAACGAGGAAUGCCUAGUAAGCGUGAUUCAUCAAAUCGCGUUGAUUACGUCCCUGCCCUUUGUACACACCGCCCGUCGCUCCUACCGAUUGAGUGGUCCGGUGAGGCUUUGGGAUCUGAGCGGAAAGAGCGUUUCGCUGUUUCUGCCCGGAAAACUCAGUCGAACCUUAUCAUUUAGAGGAAGGAGAAGUCGUAACA
rnacentral:rRNA from 1 species